GAAACCUGCUGCUGGUCUGACGUCACUCCAAUGGAAAACACAUAUGCUACUCCUUCUCCAUGCAAACGGCCCAAAGCUGCCCCUAGGAAAAAGAAUAACACAUCACAAGAGUUUCUCUAUGUUUAUAUUCCAGGAAACCCCUCACAGAGUUUUCACAUUGUGGUGAGAGGAUGCUCUGAGGCAAAUCCCUCACACUUAAAUUUUCGUUAUUUUGAAAAUGAAGCUUGUCGCUUCCCUUUCCCCCCCACUCACCAUAGACAAAGACUGGCAUGAAGUAUCCAGCUGGAACGGGCAGAGUGCAGGCGAGGACCAACAUCCACAUCUCAGGAGAAACAACAACACAAACUGUCAAAUCCCUGUCAAACAGCCACAGCAGCUCUGUGAGCAUGAGUCACUGUCAGUCUGUGAGCAGGGAAAUCGCAGCGAAUAGAUGUUAAAUCAGGUCAACUCCUCCACCUCCUUAAAGAAAGCCAAAGAGAGGUAGACAGGACUCCCUGACGAGCUCCACUCCGACAAAGGCUCAGGCUGCAGCUGCACAGAAGCAUUCUGGUGCUGAGAGCUCCACUGCCUGCUGUCCAGUAAGGAGUUGGCGAGUGGUGAUCCGGGCCUCCUUUACCUCCAUCUCCACUCCACACCGCGAAGAGGCGGGAGGUCAACGCCCCGCAGGCAGCUGAGAAGAAACACGGGACGUAAUGCCUCAGGGCAAAGUGAGAAGACAUCACCUCCACGCUGAACAACACACCUCCAAGAGCAGAGGCUGAGUACAAAUGGAGUUUGAACCUGAGGUGCUGGACACCCAGCAAGGUUUCAAAAAGGAAAUCACCUGUGAUGUGCAAAAUCAAAGUUGGAAGAGGUGAGAGAAAAGGAUGAUGGGGAGCAGCGGUGUAGGACGAGAGUUAAAAUGGACGGGUAAAUAUGUGACGCUUAUGAAACUGAAAUCAAAGGUGGAUGCAUUAACCAGACACAUGUGAGAAGGACAGAUAUAGUGAGAGUAAGUAUUUAGAUGCUUAAUGCCGAACCGCCUCACCACUGAUGGGAGCUCCAAAGCAGCUGGCUACACCGACCGCAGCAGCUACAACCAACAUUUCUCCAGCUCCUUUGUCCUAAAAGACAAAGAGUCUAUAAUUUAAACAUCUUUUGUGUAUUUGUUUUUACAUAUUAGAGAAAUACAAUAACAUAUAAUGCAAAUUUUUUAAAACACUAUUUCUAAAAUAUUUUUAACAUUCCCAGUUUGUCCAUUUCUGUCGAAGAAUUUAACAGUCCCUUUCCUUUUAGGGCAAGCAACAUUUACCUUGGGGUUAUUUAAUGUCAUAAUACAUAAAAACAUAAUCAAGUAUAUUCUUUUGAAAAAAGCUUCUCUCAGCACUGCUUUCAAUCUUGUUUAUUUAUUUGCUUUUUGGCCACUUGAGGGCAGAACACAGCAUCUCUCACAUGAUCGCCCUUUUGUGACUGUGUCAGUGAUCAGUUGCGAAUUUAAAGAGAACACGGGCAACAUUUGUAUUUUGACAAAUAAAUCUUGGCAAUAUAGAUAGUUAUGUGCACAUUGUUCCCAGUAUAUGAUCAGAAAAGACAGCAAGAGUGAAAUUAUACGCACAACAGUGUUGAUUUGGAAUUAGGUUAUAUCACAUGUCAAAUGAACGUAAGUCCAAUAUUCUCUCUCCUUUUCGUUUUGUUUUGGUUGGAUAUGUUCAUUUUUACCAGGGGUGAUGUUCUGUGGUCCCGAUAGUGAUCCUUGUUGUAAAUAUUACUUGGGAUAGUAUCUCCAGAUAAUUAACUUUCGGGGUUGAUUGUUGGUGGUGUGGUUUUGGGGGGGGGACACCCCUGCAGAGAAUUAAACACACGCAGCAAAAGCAGUAUCUUGUUAUGCUGAAUCCUGCCUGCCUGUCGGCCGUGAUAAUAUCUUAAUGGAUGUUUUAACUGCCAAUGACACAGGUAGGAUUUCUCACUCAGUUUCAACGUUUAGACUUAGUUAGCAACAAUAAGGAUGUUCAACUGCACAUAUAAAUUAUUUAUCUCCUCACACGCAACCCUCUCUCUCAUACUGGAUAGGGGUAUAGCAGAGAGUGGAUGGCAAAAUGAACAGGUUGUUUAAGGGGGAAACUUUUUUCCUUCAUCCCCCUACCAACCAACUACUGCCUAAGGGAAAUAGCUGGCUAGCAUUUAACUAUCUGUUAAAAGCUCCACCAACUAACCCUGACUUUGUCUGUCUGCAAUUUGAUGCUACACAGUUUUAUUCAGAAGUAAAAGGGUGUAAUUUUAUAAAAAAGCAAGUGGUAAAGCCUUCACUAAAAUUGAAUUACUUGUGAUUUUACCUUCUUUUUGUCUUGUAUGAGAGUGCAGAGUUUGCUAAGGUAGGCUCCCACCAUGGUGGAAAGAUGCACAAGCGGACCCUGAUGAUAGGAGGAACAAAAACAUUAAUAACUCAUAAUGAAGCUAACACACAAUUUUAAAGAUAGCUACAUAUUUUGUAUGGUAGACAGGUACACUGGGAGGUCUCUCACCACUUUGCCCAGGGAAACAGUGCUGCCUGCUGCCAGUACACAGAUAAGGCCCAGGAACUUGGCAAACAUAUUAGUGAGAGACAAGUAAUGAGGCAUUUCAAUGCCAGCCAGUAUUGUUCGUACCUCUGGUAUCCCCGAGCCUAGAGAGAAAUAAACAACAGGACAAGAUUCUGGAAAAGCCCGAAGGUUCUAAAUAAAUCAAAAACUUCAAUUAAAGCCAUUCAAAGUUAAUAAAGGGGAAUAGUUUCAGAAUAAUUCAACAGAGGUUAAAGGAGAUAGAAAGACCUUCUGUGGGAUGUAAAGGAAAAUCAGCAUAAAACAAACAAAGUAAUAAUAAAGCAUGAGUCUGUUUUAGAUUGGUAAUGUUUACACCAUGUCAUCAGGUUGGGUUUGAGAGUCUGGUCUCACAAAUCAUUUUACACAUUUUAAAUUCUCCUGAAAUCUUUUGUCCUGACAGUGAGAGGGCAGUGUUGCCAGUCUACAGAGGAGUGGGGAGUACAGAUACAAGCCAUAAACAUGGACCCAAAGCUUACUGAGGUAAGACCUGGCCGGUGAAAGUCAGGGGAGGACAGGGGAAAGACAAGGGAAAGACAGGGGGGAGACAGGGGGGAGACAGGGUGAGGGCCUGUGAGAAAAGUAGAACCAUGUUCUCUAACAAAUAACAAUCAGCCUGAGGUGGACUGAUAAUUGGAGAGUGACAAAGUCCAGACCUGCCACUGGACUGAACACAUAACAGCCUCAGUCUGAAUUUCUGGCUUCCUCUGGCCUUAACAAUGCCCAUGUCACUCUGAAACAUCAAUAACAUUUCUUCAUUACCUUCAUCCGUCUAUUAGCUUCAUUAUCUUUAAAUCCUUUUAAUCAUUAAAAGUUAUUGACUUUUUUUUAGGAAUUUUCCCCCAACCUAGUCGAGGAUUAAGGACAACUGUUAAAUCAAAAAUUUAAUUUUAAUAACAUUAAAAGCAUUCUGCAGCAUUUUCUCAGACAAUUAAGGGUUACCAGGAGAUCAUCUUAUAUUCAGCAAUAAUAAGAGUAAAGUAAAUCUAAGAAAGAACAAAGAAAUACAAACCCUAUUGGAUCAGAAGUCUUGUGUCAUAAGCCUAGAAGCUCUGUGCUCACAGUAAUUUUAAUCAGAA